GGUUAAGUGAAUAAGGGCGCACGGUGGAUGCCUUGGCACUAGGAGCCGAUGAAGGACGGGACUAACACCGAUAUGCUUUGGGGAGCUGUAAGUAAGCUAUGAUCCAGAGAUUUCCGAAUGGGGGAACCCAAUAUCUUUUAUAGGAUAUUACUUUUCAGUGAAUACAUAGCUGAUUAGAGGUAGACGCA
rnacentral:rRNA from 1 species